rnacentral:rRNA from 1 species
UACGAAGGGGGCUAGCGUUGUUCGGAUUUACUGGGCGUAAAGCGCACGUAGGCGGAUUGUUAAGUCGGGGGUGAAAUCCUGAGGCUCAACCUCAGAACUGCCUUCGAUACUGGCGAUCUUGAGUUCGGAAGAGGUUGGUGGAACAGCUAGUGUAGAGGUGAAAUUCGUAGAUAUUAGCUAGAACACCAGUGGCGAAGGCGGCCAACUGGUCCGAUACUGACGCUGAGGUGCGAAAGCGUGGGGAGCAAACAGG